rnacentral:rRNA from 1 species
UACGGGGGGGGCAAGCGUUGUUCGGAGUUACUGGGCGUAAAGCGUGCGUAGGCGGUGUCUUAAGUUUGUUGUGAAAUCUCCCGGCUUAACCGGGAGGGUGCGGCGAAUACUGAGAUGCUGGAGUGCGGGAGAGGUAAGCGGAAUUCCUGGUGUAGCGGUGAAAUGCGUAGAUAUCAGGAGGAACACCUGCGGUGUAGACGGCUUACUGGACCGUAACUGACGGCUGAGGCACGAAAGCGUGGGUAGCAAACAGG